CACGUAGGGUGCGAGCGUUGUCCGGAAUUAUUGGGCGUAAAGAGCUCGUAGGCGGUGUGUCGCGUCGGCCGUGAAAACCUGCAGCUUAACUGUGGGCUUGCGGUCGAUACGGGGCAUCACUGGAGUUCGGCAGGGGAGACUGGAAUUCCUGGUGUAGCGGUGAAAUGCGCAGAUAUCAGGAGGAACACCGGUGGCGAAGGCGGGUCUCUGGGCCGAUACUGACGCUGAGGAGCGAAAGCGUGGGGAGCAAACAGG
rnacentral:rRNA from 1 species